rnacentral:rRNA from 1 species
GAUGAACGCUGGCGGCGUGCCUAAUACAUGCAAGUCGAGCGAACAGACGAGGAGCUUGCUCCUCUGACGUUAGCGGCGGACGGGUGAGUAACACGUGGAUAACCUACCUAUAAGACUGGGAUAACUUCGGGAAACCGGAGCUAAUACCGGAUAAUAUAUUGAACCGCAUGGUUCAAUAGUGAAAGACGGUUUUGCUGUCACUUAUAGAUGGAUCCGCGCCGCAUUAGCUAGUUGGUAAGGUAACGGCUUACCAAGGCAACGAUGCGUAGCCGACCUGAGAGGGUGAUCGGCAACACUGGAACGGAGACACGGUCCAGACUCCUACGGGAGGCAGCAGUAGGGAAUCUUCCGCAAUGGGCGAAAGCUUGACGGAGCAACGCCGCGUGAGUGAUGAAGGUCUUCGGAUCGUAAAACUCUGUUAUUAGGGAAGAACAAAUGUGUAAGUAACUAUGCACGUCUUGACGGUACCUAAUCAGAAAGCCACGGCUAACUACGUG